GAUGAACGCUGGCGGCGUGCUUAACACAUGCAAGUCGAACGGAAAGGCUCCUGCUUGCAGGGGUACUCGAGUGGCGAACGGGUGAGUAACACGUGGGUGAUCUGCCCUGCACUUCGGGAUAAGCCUGGGAAACUGGGUCUAAUACCGGAUAGGACGAUGGGUUGGAUGCCAUUGUGGAAAGUUUUUUCGGUGUGGGAUGAGCUCGCGGCCUAUCAGCUUGUUGGUGGGGUAAUGGCUUACCAAGGCGUCGACGGGGAGCCGGCCUGAGAGGGUGUACGGCCACAUUGGGACUGAGAUACGGCCCAGACUCCUACGGGAGGCAGCAGUGGGGAAUAUUGCACAAUGGGCGCGAGCCUGAUGCAGCGACGCCGCGUGGGGGAUGACGGCCUUCGGGUUGUAAACUCCUUUCGCUAGGGACGAAGCGCAAGUGACGGUACCUGGAGAAGAAGCACCGGCUAACUACGUG
rnacentral:rRNA from 1 species